rnacentral:sRNA from 1 species
UGUUUGCACUUAGCGGGAAGGGUAAGAACCUUCGACUCGAGCGAAGCGAGAGAACGUUGCCGCAGGCAACGGCCCGAAGGGCGAGGAGAGAUAGCGACGAGUUAUCCUUCCCCCACCACCA